UGUGUGUUAGUGGAAGCGUCUGGAAAGGCGCGCGAUACAGGGUGACAGCCCCGUACACAAAAAUGCACAUGCUGUGAGCUCGAUGAGUAGGGCGGGACACGUGGUAUCCUGUCUGAAUAUGGGGGGACCAUCCUCCAAGGCUAAAUACUCCUGACUGACCGAUAGUGAACCAGUACCGUGAGGGAAAGGCGAAAAGAACCCCGGCGAGGGGAGUGAAAAAGAACCUGAAACCGUGUACGUACAAGCAGUGGGAGCACGCUUAGGCGUGUGACUGCGUACCUUUUGUAUAAUGGGUCAGCGACUUAUAUUCUGUAGCAAGGUUAACCGAAUAGGGGAGCCGAAGGGAAACCGAGUCUUAACUGGGCGUUAAGUUGCAGGGUAUAGACCCGAAACCCGGUGAUCUAGCCAUGGGCAGGUUGAAGGUUGGGUAACACUAACUGGAGGACCGAACCGACUAAUGUUGAAAAAUUAGCGGAUGACUUGUGGCUGGGGGUGAAAGGCCAAUCAAACCGGGAGAUAGCUGGUUCUCCCCGAAAGCUAUUUAGGUAGCGCCUCGUGAAUUCAUCUCCGGGGGUAGAGCACUGUUUCGGCAAGGGGGUCAUCCCGACUUACCAACCCGAUGCAAACUGCGAAUACCGGAGAAUGUUAUCACGGGAGACACACGGCGGGUGCUAACGUCCGUCGUGAAGAGGGAAACAACCCAGACCGCCAGCUAAGGUCCCAAAGUCAUGGUUAAGUGGGAAACGAUGUGGGAAGGCCCAGACAGCCAGGAUGUUGGCUUAGAAGCAGCCAUCAUUUAAAGAAAGCGUAAUAGCUCACUGGUCGAGUCGGCCUGCGCGGAAGAUGUAACGGGGCUAAACCAUGCACCGAAGCUGCGGCAGCGACGCUGAUGCGUUGUUGGGUAGGGGAGCGUUCUGUAAGCCUGCGAAGGUGUGCUGUGAGGCAUGCUGGAGGUAUCAGAAGUGCGAAUGCUGACAUAAGUAACGAUAAAGCGGGUGAAAAGCCCGCUCGCCGGAAGACCAAGGGUUCCUGUCCAACGUUAAUCGGGGCAGGGUGAGUCGACCCCUAAGGCGAGGCCGAAAGGCGUAGUCGAUGGGAAACAGGUUAAUAUUCCUGUACUUGGUGUUACUGCGAAGGGGGGACGGAGAAGGCUAUGUUGGCCGGGCGACGGUUGUCCCGGUUUAAGCGUGUAGGCUGGUUUUCCAGGCAAAUCCGGAAAAUCAAGGCUGAGGCGUGAUGACGAGGCACUACGGUGCUGAAGCAACAAAUGCCCUGCUUCCAGGAAAAGCCUCUAAGCAUCAGGUAACAUCAAAUCGUACCCCAAACCGACACAGGUGGUCAGGUAGAGAAUACCAAGGCGCUUGAGAGAACUCGGGUGAAGGAACUAGGCAAAAUGGUGCCGUAACUUCGGGAGAAGGCACGCUGAUAUGUAGGUGAAGCGACUUGCUCGUGGAGCUGAAAUCAGUCGAAGAUACCAGCUGGCUGCAACUGUUUAUUAAAAACACAGCACUGUGCAAACACGAAAGUGGACGUAUACGGUGUGACGCCUGCCCGGUGCCGGAAGGUUAAUUGAUGGGGUUAGCGCAAGCGAAGCUCUUGAUCGAAGCCCCGGUAAACGGCGGCCGUAACUAUAACGGUCCUAAGGUAGCGAAAUUCCUUGUCGGGUAAGUUCCGACCUGCACGAAUGGCGUAAUGAUGGCCAGGCUGUCUCCACCCGAGACUCAGUGAAAUUGAACUCGCUGUGAAGAUGCAGUGUACCCGCGGCAAGACGGAAAGACCCCGUGAACCUUUACUAUAGCUUGACACUGAACAUUGAGCCUUGAUGUGUAGGAUAGGUGGGAGGCUUUGAAGUGUGGACGCCAGUCUGCAUGGAGCCGACCUUGAAAUACCACCCUUUAAUGUUUGAUGUUCUAACGUGGACCCGUAAUCCGGGUUGCGGACAGUGUCUGGUGGGUAGUUUGACUGGGGCGGUCUCCUCCUAAAGAGUAACGGAGGAGCACGAAGGUUGGCUAAUCCUGGUCGGACAUCAGGAGGUUAGUGCAAUGGCAUAAGCCAGCUUGACUGCGAGCGUGACGGCGCGAGCAGGUGCGAAAGCAGGUCAUAGUGAUCCGGUGGUUCUGAAUGGAAGGGCCAUCGCUCAACGGAUAAAAGGUACUCCGGGGAUAACAGGCUGAUACCGCCCAAGAGUUCAUAUCGACGGCGGUGUUUGGCACCUCGAUGUCGGCUCAUCACAUCCUGGGGCUGAAGUAGGUCCCAAGGGUAUGGCUGUUCGCCAUUUAAAGUGGUACGCGAGCUGGGUUUAGAACGUCGUGAGACAGUUCGGUCCCUAUCUGCCGUGGGCGCUGGAGAACUGAGGGGGGCUGCUCCUAGUACGAGAGGACCGGAGUGGACGCAUCACUGGUGUUCGGGUUGUCAUGCCAAUGGCACUGCCCGGUAGCUAAAUGCGGAAGAGAUAAGUGCUGAAAGCAUCUAAGCACGAAACUUGC
rnacentral:rRNA from 1 species